rnacentral:rRNA from 1 species
GCACCGGCUAACUACGUGCCAGCAGCCGCGGUAAUACGUAGGGUGCAAGCGUUAAUCGGAAUUACUGGGCGUAAAGCGUGCGCAGGCGGUUUUGUAAGUCUGUCGUGAAAUCCCCGGGCUUAACCUGGGAAUGGCGAUGGAGACUGCAAGGCUAGAGUUUGGCAGAGGGGGGUAGAAUUCCACGUGUAGCAGUGAAAUGCGUAGAGAUGUGGAGGAACACCGAUGGCGAAGGCAGCCCCCUGGGUCAAGACUGACGCUCAUGCACGAAAGCGUGGGGAGCAAACAGGAUUAGAUACCCUGGUAGUCCACGCCCUAAACGAUGUCUACUAGUUGUUGGGUCUUAAUUGACUUAGUAACGCAGCUAACGCGUGAAGUAGACCGCCUGGGGAGUACGGUCGCA